UUAUUUUCUAUUUUAUAUGCAAAACAUCGUGGUAUAUUUCUUUCACGUCUAUUGUGAAUUUUAUGUGUUUAUAUCUAUGGGGGAAAUUUUUAUGUACCGAUAUGAGAAAGACGUUAUGAUAAAGUUUUGAAAUAUAUGGAUAUUUUUAAAAUAUCAACAUUAAUAAUGUAGUGUUUCCUAAUAAAAAGAAUUCAUUUGAUAUGCAAAACACUAUUGAAUAUUUGCACCAGAC
rnacentral:lncRNA from 1 species